GUUAAGCACAUUACUGUGUUCCAAGAGCUGGGGAGAUCGUGACCGCUUUUCCCCCCCUAGAAGUUUAACUGCCGGCACCAGUGCUGAAAUAUCCUAUUUGCCGUGGUUGGAGUCCAGUGAAUGUUAUCACCUGUAGUGAAGAAGGAACUGUUGUGUAUCUCCAACAAAGGUGUGCAGUACGUGGCAAUAUAUUUAUUGAUUAUAGUUAAGUUAGACUUCUGCAGUUCUGUUAAGUUGGGAGAAAACAUAAUCACGGGCACGAACAAUGUUGCAUUCGGAAAAACUCUCUGUGCUGUUGUAAGUAAUUGCUGUAACUGUUUAAUUGCUGUUUUUCUAGGAUCCUGAUCUUUAUUGUUGAUCCCCAAAGAAAGGAUCACUUUUUGCGUGGACUGGAAGACUGGGCAGUUUUUGAGCACGCCAUUAAUGUGGUAGAAUGUGGCGCCUGGAUAACUAUCAAUUUGAAUUUGUUCAUUUUUAAAUGAAGGAAUUCUUUUCAAAUUUGAAUCACCAAUGAAAAUUAUUGGCUUCUCUGCUGUAAAGCGCCAGUCAUAGAGUUUGCGAUCUGACCGUGGGUGGCCCCUGGGGUAGAAAACAGGCUCUCUCUCCGAGACCGUGUCUCUUAGGGUUUGAGGGGAGGACUCAGAUUGGGGUCGAUUCAUGGGAUUUUGCCCUUUAUUUGCCCCUUUCAUCAUGUCCUGUACCACCCCCAGAGUCACGGAUUCGGAGAGAGGCUCCCCCCGCGGGGGUAAGUGCUGUGCUGGAGACUGGACAUCGGUCUGUCUGGUUGAACUAGACCUGCCUGUGGGUGAUAAAGCCAAAAUCAUGUCAUUUGUACUUAUACUGACAUUGCUCUGUUUUCCCAAAACAACAGAAGCUGCAGAAGCAUUUUCCGGCAAAGUGAUUUGAUUAUCCUGUUUCUGAACCAGGUCCCCCUCCUCACCGUCCCCCACUCGGACCUCCCAGCAUGCCCCAGAAGUGGCAGGGUGGCCCCAUUGUCAGCUUUACGGCCCACCUGGCCCGGCCUACAGGGUGCUCGACUGAGCUGCAGGCGGCACGCACACGGAGGAAUUCUCAUCAGAGGUAAGUUUCAUUGUUUCUUUUUUCAGGGUUCCUGUUUCACCAUUAUGUGUUGCAGCUAUAGGGCAAGACUGCCUGGGGGUAGCAGGCCUACUAAUGGGGCCCUGUUGGCCCGCAACUACCUGGGCAUAGGUAGGUACAGUCAGAGGCGGAGCAUCCAUAUCAGUCAUCUCAACUGGACUCAUAUGCAUCUGGGGACACAAGGUAGGUGAAGUAGUGCCAGGCGUCCUAGAAUGUGGUGUUGUAGUCUGGGGUGUAAGCAAUUCCAUCACUCUUUCACAGAUCAUUCUAUUAAACUUAUGUUUGUAGCGGGCCUUGGCCCAAACUAUUGCCAUAUUGAAGGCCUCCUGAUCAAAAGGGCCCAAUGACUGAGUGAUUGAGGCAAUCACUCCGUCGUAGUGCAUUUGUAAUAUUGUCAUGUUAGUGUCCAUCCAUCUCAAAGUGUUCUCCUUCACUUUGUUUUUAGUUUGCUCAGAAGGAGAGGAUGGCUUUAUGAAAACUGUUAAUUUAUUCACUUGCCUCAUCAUACCUUUGGGAAAUGUUUUGGACUCCACUGCCUGAUUUACUAUUUGAAUGUGAUGGAUUGCUUGCAUGAGUUUGAAAUAUUCCUUUGUUGUUUGUUUGUUAAGCCUUGGAGGAACAGAAGGUGCAAGGGAGGGGAGAGAGGGAGGGGGAAGGUUCUCCUGUACAGCCUCAACAGUGUCUUCAUUCUGAAUAUUGGCCAAAGCCAUGUAUCUAUUCUUUAACAACAUUCCAAAUUUUAAUCUGAACAGUUACAGGCCUAAACACCACUGUGAUAAGAAACAGGUUUUCCCCUUUCAGGGCUCUCACCCUUCCUUUCUCCUUUCGGCUGGUGGGUACGAGAAGAAGGUUCUCUUGGCGUGCGGUCCCAGGAUGGCUUUGUGUUACUUCCGUCCGUGGCAUAAAGUUCAAGAGAGAAACCACAAGAUGGUUACCAGGGAGUGAGCAAUGCUCAGUUUAAAGUUCUCCUGCCCAGAACGGGAUCCACUGCCCCUGGGGGAAUCCAACAGGCCCCGGCCUUCAGGUCUCCUUCCGCUGUAUUUAACUUUUUCACCUUUCUUCUCUUUACAGGUGGUGGGGGAAGCCUCUUGUGACUAAUCAGAUUAAAAUUGUACUUU